CCAGGGUGCAUUCCAUGUAAAUUCCACGCCGGAGAUACGCCGAAUGCUUCUAACCGCUACGCCAAGAUUGCGCAAAAAAUUGGGGGACUGGCGAGAGUGAGUAACAUGCUGACUUUCCACCAGGAUUGCGCAAUUCUAUAGCUAGGAAACUAAGGAAGAAACGUGUCAAGUCUCAACAAAAUCUUGUCUUCGUGCCGAUCAUUCUAAUAUUUUUUGUGUAGUUUAAAAAUGAUAUGAAAAUUAAUGUAAGACUUUGACCAUGAGGCUGAGGUAUUAGAAUACCAUUUGUAACCACGAAGUCAUGAAAUGUUGAAGAUGAG
rnacentral:lncRNA from 1 species